GAUGAACGCUGGCGGCGUGCUUAACACAUGCAAGUCGAACGGAAAGGCUCCUGCUUGCAGGGGUACUCGAGUGGCGAACGGGUGAGUAACACGUGGGUGAUCUGCCCUGCACUUCGGGAUAAGCCUGGGAAACUGGGUCUAAUACCGGAUAGGACCACAUUUUGGAUGGUGUGGUGGAAAGUUUUUCGGUGUGGGAUGAGCUCGCGGCCUAUCAGCUUGUUGGUGGGGUAAUGGCCUACCAAGGCGUCGACGGGUAGCCGGCCUGAGAGGGUGUACGGCCACAUUGGGACUGAGAUACGGCCCAGACUCCUACGGGAGGCAGCAGUGGGGAAUAUUGCACAAUGGGCGCAAGCCUGAUGCAGCGACGCCGCGUGGGGGAUGACGGCCUUCGGGUUGUAAACUCCUUUCGCUAGGGACGAAGCGCAAGUGACGGUACCUGGAGAAGAAGCACCGGCUAACUUCGUG
rnacentral:rRNA from 1 species